UGGGGAAUAUUGCGCAAUGGGCGAAGGCCUGACCCAGCAACGCCGCGUGAAGGAUGAAGUAUUUCGGUAUGUAAACUUCGUAAGAAUAGGAAGAAUAAAUGACGGUACUAUUUGUAAGGUCCGGCUAACUACGUGCCAGCAGCCGCGGUAAUACGUAGGGACCAAGCGUUGUUCGGAUUUACUGGGCGUAAAGGGCGCGUAGGCGGUGUGUCAAGUCAGUUGUGAAAUCUCCGAGCUUAACUCGGAACGGUCAACUGAUACUGUCACACUAGAGUACAGAAGGGGCAAUCGGAAUUCUUGGUGUAGCGGUGAAAUGCGUAGAUAUCAAGAGGAACACCUGAGGCGAAGGCGGGUUGCUGGGCUGAUACUGACGCUGAGGCGCGAAAGCUAGGGUAGCAAACGGGAUUAGAUACCCGAGUAGUCCCUGAGCGGGCUGGCAAGGCGCAU
rnacentral:rRNA from 1 species